rnacentral:rRNA from 1 species
UACGAAGGUCCCAAGCGUUAUCCGGAUUUAUUGGGUUUAAAGGGUGCGUAGGCGGGUUAUUAAGUCAGUGGUGAAAGCCUGCAGCUUAACUGCAGAAUUGCCAUUGAUACUGAUGAUCUUGAGUAUGAUUGAGGUGGGCGGAAUGUGUCAUGUAGCGGUGAAAUGCUUAGAUAUGACACAGAACACCGAUUGCGAAGGCAGCUCACUAAGUCAUAACUGACGCUGAUGCACGAAAAGCCGUGGGGAGCAAACAGG